ACCGAGAUUCCCCCAGUAGCGGCGAGCGAACGGGGAGGAGCCCAGAGCCUGAAUCAGCAUGUGUGUUAGUGGAAGCGUCUGGAAAGGCGCGCGAUACAGGGUGACAGCCCCGUACACAAAAGCGCAUAUGCUGUGAGCUCGAUGAGUAGGGCGGGACACGUGGUAUCCUGUCUGAAUAUGGGGGGACCAUCCUCCAAGGCUAAAUACUCCUGACUGACUGAUAGUGAACCAGUACAAG
rnacentral:rRNA from 1 species